GACGAACGCUGGCGGCGUGCUUAACACAUGCAAGUCGAACGGAAAGGCCCUGCUUUUGUGGGGUGCUCGAGUGGCGAACGGGUGAGUAACACGUGAGUAACCUGCCCUUGACUUUGGGAUAACUUCAGGAAACUGGGGCUAAUACCGGAUAGGAGCUCCUGCUGCAUGGUGGGGGUUGGAAAGUUUCGGCGGUGGGGGAUGGACUCGCGGCUUAUCAGCUUGUUGGUGGGGUAGUGGCUUACCAAGGCUUUGACGGGUGGCCGGCCUGAGAGGGUGACCGGCCACAUUGGGACUGAGGUACGGCCCAGACUCCUACGGGAGGCAGCAGUGGGGAAUAUUGCACAAUGGGCGGAAGCCUGAUGCAGCAACGCCGCGUGCGGGAUGACGGCCUUCGGGUUGUAAACCGCUUUCGCCUGUGACGAAGCGUGAGUGACGGUAAUGGGUAAAGAAGCACCGGCUAACUACGUG
rnacentral:rRNA from 1 species